UAUUCUUGUGAGGACUUGUUUGGGCAGUUCUCCCGACUGCAGGCAUCUUUGGGAGUGCAGUUAGACACAUCAGAAAGCAGAAAUGGAGAAAGUGUCCUUUGAGGAUGUGGCUGUGAACUUCACCACAGGAGAGUGGGCAUUGUUGGAUGUAUGUCAAAAGAAGCUCUACAGAGAUGUGAUGAAAGAAACGUUUUUGAACCUGAUCUCCAUAGAAAAAGCAGUAGAAGAAAAUAUUGGAGAGGACAGCAAAGACAUCAGCAGAAACAUGCGGUAAUUCAUAUUCAAAAGAAAGGAAUUGAUCUCAUAUAUUUGAAAAUCAUUGGACAACUGAAUGCCUAUCAAAAUGUCUAAAGAAAAGUAACUGAAUAAUAAUCUCUAAACAUAUUUCUGUAAUAGAGCAUUGCAUUGUGCCAUUCAAUAUUUGAGUAUUUCAUCUUUAUAGUAUAUUAAGAUCACAAAUGUGUCAUGUAACAUUAACCUUUGAAUGGAUUUUAUCUUUGGUUUAUUACACACAAACCUUCAAAUUAUUUUCUGUCUUUCUAUGUAUGAUUUUGAGGGUUUGACCAUAAGUUCUGUUUUUUUGUUUUUGUUUUUUGGAUUUUGGGGGUUUUUUUGUUUGUUUUGUUUUUGUUUGUUUGUUUGUUAUGCUUUCAUAUGCUAUGACAAUAAAAAAAGAAAGAAAAAAGCAACUCUGGGGUAGAACUCA